GUGAGGAAUUUUGGACAAUGGGGGCAACCCUGAUCCAGCGACGCCGCGUGAAGGAUGAAGGUCUUCGGAUUGUAAACUUCUUUUAUCUGGGAAUAAGAAACUCAUGGAAACAUGGGGAGUGAAUGUACCAGGUGAAUAAGCAACGGCUAACUUCGUGCCAGCAGCCGCGGUAAUACGAAGGUUGCAAGCGUUACUCGGAAUUACUAGGCGUAAAGGGCAGGUAGGUGGUUUGGUAAGUCUAUUGUGAAAGCUCCCGGCUUAACUGGGAGAGGUCAAUAGAUACUGCCGGACUUGAGUAUAGGAGAGGUUACUGGAAUUCCCGGUGUAGCGGUGAAAUGCGCAGAGAUCGGGAGGAACACCAAUGGCGAAAGCAGGUAACUGGACUAUUACUGACGCUAAGCUGCGAAAGCUAGGGGAGCAAACAGGAUUAGAUACCCCUGUAGUCC
rnacentral:rRNA from 1 species